rnacentral:rRNA from 1 species
AGAGUUUGAUCCUGGCUCAGGAUGAACGCUAGCGCAGGCUUAAUACAUGCAAGUCGAGGGGCAGCGGGGGUAGCAAUACCUGCCGGCGACCGGCAAACGGGUGCGGAACACGUACAGAACCUUCCUCUGAGUGUGGGAUAGCCCGGAGAAAUCCGGAUUAAUCCACAUAGUAUUUUGGUGUGGCAUCACAUUAAAAUUAAAGAUUUAUCGCUUAGAGAUGGCUGUGCGGCUGAUUAGGUAGUUGGUGCGGGUAACGGCCCACCAAGCCAACGAUCAGUAACUGGUGUGAGAGCACGACCAGUCACACGGGCACUGAGACACGGGCCCGACUCCUACGGGAGGCAGCAGUAAGGAAUAUUGGUCAAUGGACGCAAGUCUGAACCAGCCAUGCCGCGUGAAGGAUGAAGGCCCUCUGGGUUGUAAACUUCUUUUAUGUGGGAAGAAAUGCAUUUAAUCUUAAAUGUUUGACGGUACCAUAGGAAUAAGCACCGGCUAACUCCGUGCCAGCAGCCGCGGUAAUACGGAGGGUGCAAGCGUUAUCCGGAUUCACUGGGUUUAAAGGGUGCGUAGGUGGGCUUGUAAGUCAGUGGUGAAAUCUCCGGGCUUAACCCGGAAACUGCCAUUGAUACUAUAGGUCUUGAAUUAUCUGGAGGUCAGCGGAAUAUGUCUGUAGCGGUGAAAUGCUUAGAUAUGACAUAGAACACCAAUUGCGAAGGCAGCUGGCUACAGGUAUAUUGACACUGAGGCACGAAAGCGUGGGGAUCAAACAGGAUUAGAUACCCUAGUAGUCC